AAUUAGUUAUUACCAUCAUUUUUCCAAUUAUUGCUGUUAAAGUGCCAUGAUAGUUUAAUUUUCUCUUAGGGUUCUUCUGUUCUAUCAUUUUGCAUGAAAAUGAUUGUUAUGAUCUCACUAAAAAAACAUGAUGGAAAAUUUGCUUGUUAGUUGAAGUUCUUCAAUUUAGUGGCUAUUUCUUUUUAUGAUUUUAUUCAUCGAUAUUGGGUCUUGGGUCAUUUUAAUUGCUUUCUAAGUUUGGUGCAGUGUUUCUCUGGAGUGCACUGCAAAAAAUUACCCUUGGUUCAGUCAAGAUCUGGCUUAAUGAUUUUAGCAUCUCUGUCCAGUCCUACGACACUUGUCUUCAAGCCCUCAGAACCAAUUGAAAGGAUGAGAAUAGAAUUUCUGUUUAAUUUCUUUUGCGUCUUUGUGUUGAAAAAAGGGGACAGGCACUUGAGAGGAAAAUAUAUAAAUUCUGCGAUAGGAGGUAUCAUAUAUGUAGAUAGAUCCUGUGCUUAAUGUGCUUUAAAUUUUAAAAUGCUUACAAUUAAUGACAUGUUUAGACGAUUUGCCAGACCAAUUUCUGUUGACCAGCAAAUAGAUCCAGUCUGUAAUGUUGAUCAUGCAAAUUAACUGCAGG